CUACCAGGGUAUCUAAUCCCGUUUGCUCCCCUGGCUUUCGCGCCUCAGCGUCAGAAGGGAUCCAGCACGCCGCCUUCGCCACCGGAGUUCCUAUGGAUAUCAACGCAUUUCACCGCUCCACCCACAGUUCCGCGUGCCCCUAUCCCCCUCGAGACCUCCAGUAUCCGGGGCCGUUCUCCCGUUGAGCGGGAGGAUUUCACCCCGGACUCGGCGGCCCGCCUACGCGCCCUUUAAGCCCAGUGAUUCCGAAUAACGUUCGGACGGUUCGUCUUACCGCGGCUGCUGGCAC
rnacentral:rRNA from 1 species